rnacentral:lncRNA from 1 species
GGUCUUCAUCAAAUUUAAAUCACAUACGUGUAAUUUUAAAAUAAUUUUAUUUUAUCUUUCUUAACAAGCUUUACUGAAAAUUUCUCAAUUUUUUCCCUCUUUCAAGCUUCAAGUUUUUUUCUCAGCAAAUCUUAUCCCAAAACAAAAACUCUUUUAAUUGAAGUUGAGGUUUGUAAAUUUUUUUUUGUAAUAUUUUUAUUUUUCAUUUUAUUUUUCUAUUUAAUUUCUAAUUACAUAUAUUUUUAACAUAAUAAACUCAUUACAAGUUUUAUGAGAUUUCACGCAUUUAAAACAAAGAUAAAGUUCCACUUAAAAAGAAAAGAAAAAACGAGUACAAAUAAGUCUGCCGUUCUUGGCACGGGUCUUUAGUCUGCCGGCUGGCACGAAAAUCUUCCUUGUUUAGGGUUUUUGUUUCCUGUCGUUUUGCGCCAGAUUGUGGGAUCAAGAUGGAAGAUGCGAUGGCAAGUCUGAGAUUGCUGGACGAUGAGGAAGAAGCGAUUCAUGAAGUCGCAGGAGAGUUUUGUUUAUCAGUUUUGUAUGGUGGGGCAAUGCCUUACAGAUAGUGUGGUCCAUUUUCCGUCAUUGUGCAACACCAUGGCGGAUCUUUGGCAUCCAACCGGAGGGAUUUGCAUCACGGAGGUGGGGGAGAAAAGGUAUCUGUUUGAAUUUUUUAAUGAGAUUGAUUUUGAUAGGGUAAAAGCAGGAACACCGUGGUUUUUCAAUAACCACUUACUUAUUCUUCAAACAAUUCUGGAAGGGGUAAAUCCGGCAGUGGUGGAGUUAAAGUUUACGGAGUUUUGGAUACAAGUCCAUGAUUUACCGCCUGGAUCGAUGAAUGAGUCGAUGGCAAAACAGUUUGGGAGUUUCUCUGGAAAAUUCCUUGAGUACGAAACGUCUGUUCCUACAUUGGGGACUCAGAUUUUCUUACGAACUAGAGUUUGCUUGGACGUUAAUGCACCAUUAAAACGAAAAAAAAGGUCCUGUUUGGAAAGUCUCUGGUUGUGUAUGCUAGAUUUAAAUAUAAGAAGCUCAGUUUGUUUUGUUUUAUUUGUGGAAGAUUAAGACAUGGGGAGAGUUUUUGCCCUCUUCGAUUACAAAUUGAACCUUCCAAAAUUAUAUUUGGAUGAGACCUAUCCUUGCAUGCGGUGACAAGGCACCGGAAUAUAACGGAGAGUAAAUGGUUAAGGACAGAUAAUGGGUCAAUGUACAUAUCAGAUAAGGCGGGAAACUCCAUUCCGAAUAGUCUGUUAACUGAGGAGAAAAGGUCAAGGCAGAUUUCUAAGGGAGCGACUGGGAAUCAAAAUAUAAAUCCUAAUUUCAUUUAGUUGGGUACCGAAAAUUAUGAUGGGAGUCGUAGAGAUCGGUCGGGGUAUGAUGGUGGGGAUGUCCAGAUGGGGGCUGAUGGAGCUGUGUAUGGAUCUCUGGAAUUGGUCUCAAGUGAAGAAGAUGAUCCUAUUGCCUUAUUGGAAGGUAAGAAAAGGCAGCGAAUGGGGGAGAGUUCGAGGAUGCCAUUGGAGACUAUUGGUGGUUCAGGAUUUAUGGAUGUUUCGGCUAGCUCUGGUGAUCAGAGCAGCCGAACUCAAUGAAAAUUCUAAGCUGGAAUGUUCGUAGGUUGGGGAGACCACGAACAAUGCAUAGGCUCAAGAAUAAGUUAAGAGCCAUAAAUCCCCGAAUUAUGUUUCUUAUGGAAACAAAAUUGAAUUCAAGAAGUAUGGAAAAGGUACGGUUGAAGUGUGGUUUUGUCAAUGGUAUUGAUGUUGGGGCUCUUGGCACGAAAGGGGGUCUAUCGUUGGGCUGAAAAGGUAAUGCACUGGUGCAGCUUAGAAGUUUUUCAUUAUUUCAUAUAGAUGUGGAAAUUAACGAUGUUGAAGGUGGUGAUACAUGGAGGUUUACAGGGUUUUAUGGACAUCCGGAUGGAAGAAAUAGAAGCGCAUCAUGGAAUCUCCUUCGCCAGCUAAGUCAUGACCAAUCUAUUCCUUGGGUGGUAGUGGGAGAUUUUAAUAAAAUCACGAAUUCUUUUGAAAAAAAAGGUGGGCGUCUUCAUUCAGAUCGGCAAAUGAAGGAGUUUCGUGAGGCAUUGGAGGAUUGCAAUCUCUUGGAGGAUUGCAAUCUCUUGGAUUUGGGAUUUACAGGUAGAUGAUUCACAUGGGAACGUGGGCGCUUUACCUCGACAAACAUAAGGGAACGACUGGAUCGGGGAGUGGCAAUUUCGUGUUGGUUGAAUCGAUUCCCUGGGUAUAGGAUUGAACAUUUGAGCCAUUCUUUUCUGACCAUUGUCCCAUUCUCCUCGAUUCUGUGGGUGUUAAAAGGAAUAAGGAGGGCAGCUAUGGGAAUGAGUUUCGGUUUGAAGCCAAGUGGUGUUUGGAUAAAUCCUUUGAAGAGAUGAUUAAAAAAUGGUAGGGUGAAAACUCUGGCAAUGUUCUGGGUAAACUAGAAAAACUGGGCGGUCAAUUACUUCGUUGGGGGCGGUUGAAUAGUAGGGAGGAUAAGAAGAAAAGGCUGGCUUUAGAAGAUAGAUUGUCUAUGUUGUAUAAGCAGGAUAUUUCAGAUGAGGUCUUGGCGGAGAUCACGGAGGUUCAAAUAGGACUAAACUUGGAAGCGGAUAAAGAACUUUUUUGGGAACAACGUGCGCGUGCAAAUUGGAUAAAGAAUGGGGACCAAAAUACUAAAUUUUUUCAUAAGAUGGCUGUGCAACGUCACCUCCGAGGUAGAAUCAUGGGGCUGCGGGAUGAUAAUGGAAGGCCAGCAAACUCGAAUGAAGAACUUAUUCAGAUUACCUCUAACUAUUUCGGCAAAUUGUUUUCUGCAUCAGAGGUGGGCUCGGAUGACAGAGUAUUUGGGUUAGUUGGGGAAAGAGUAACGGAGAGCAUGAAUGAAGAGCUGCUAAAGGAGUUUAUUGAGGAAGAAAUCGUGCAAGCUGUGAAGUAGAUGGCGCCUUUGAAGGCACCUGGUGUUGAUGGGUUUCAUGCAAUGUUUUUUUAACGAUUCUGGCAUAUUGUUGGCUCGGAAGUUUCCCAAUUCUGUUUAGUGGUGCUGAAUGGAGAAGCUGAGUUUGGUGAAAUCAAUAAAACACGCAUCAUAUUAAUUCCUAAAGUUGAUAAAUCGAAAGACAUGUCAAAAUUCAGGCCCAUAAGUCUUUGUACUGUGAUCUAGAAAAUCAUAGCGAAAGUGCUGGUGAUUCGAAUGAGCAGCAAGUUGGGACAAUGUAUAAACGAAGCCCAAGGGGCUUUUAUUCCAGGUCGGUUAAUUUCAGGUAACGUUUUAAUUGCUUAUGAAGUCCUGCAUUCUUUAAAGAUGAAGAAACGAGGCAAAAAAGGUCAUUUUGCGCUUAAAUUGAAUAUGAGCAAGGCGUAUGAUCGUGUUGAGUGGGAUUUUCUAGUAUGGAUGAUGAAGCAUUUGGGGUUUCACAAUGAUUGGAUUGUCCUAAUUAUGCGUUGCAUUUGCUCUGUGUCAUACUCGGUUUGUCUAAAUGGCUAUCACGGCGACUGGUUUUCCCCUUAAGAGGGUUAAGACAAGGAGAUCCGCUUAGCCUUUAUCUGUUUCUGAUAUCUGCAGAGGGUUUUUCAGCUCUCAUUAAUGAUGCAAGAAACAAAAGGAGGUUAAUGGAAGCAACGAUUGGGAGGGAAAGAUUUGCGGUGAACCAUGUAUUCUUUGCGGACGAUUGUCUUUUAUUUUGAGAUGCUUCUUCUGAGGGAGCGAGAAUUGUUCGGGAGGUUAUUUGUGAGUACAAAAGGGCGUCAGGUCAACGGGUGAAUUUUGAAAAAUCGCUUAUCUAUUUUGGUGCUAAUGUGCAAGAUGGGGAGAAGGAGGCUAUCGUCAAUCAGCUCAGAGUUCGGGUGGCUUCAAAUCCAAAAAAGUGGGCUUUCGCCAAUUAUGUGGAUAGAUUCAGGAAAAGGGUUGAUGGAUGGAGUGUGCGAUAUUUGUCAAUGGGGGAAGGAGGUUUUCAUUAAGUCGGUAUUGCAGGCUACGUCAAUUUAUGUGAUGCAAUGUUUUCUUUUACCAAGGACUGUCUGUCAAUAACUUAAAGGAAUCAUGAAUAGAUUUUGGUGGACUAAUAAUAAAACGUCAAAGGGGAUUUAUUGGAGUACUUGGGAAUCGCUUUGAAGACAAAAAUGUCUAGGGGGAAUGGGGUUCAAAGAUUUGUUUUUGUUCAAUAAAGCUUUGUUAGCUAAACAGGUUUGGUGUAUUCUGACUAGUCCCAACUGCCUUUUAGCUAAAGUGUUUAAAGCACGUUAUUUUCCGUUUUCAGACAUUUUAUCAGCCAAGGUCGAUUCUUACCCUUCAUUUACCUGGAGAAGCAUUUGCAGUGCUCAUGAUGUGAUUCGAGAUGGGCUAGUGUGGAGGGUGGGGAAUGGAACCCACAUUAAUCUUUGGAAUGACCCCUGGUUACCUGGGAAGGAAAACAACAGAAUUAAAGGUCACGAUAUUGGAACUAGCUGGAUAACGGUUGAUCAACUUAUUGAGGGUAGUACCUGGAACAGAGAACUUAUCCAUAAGCUAGUUGAUAGUGAAACAGCAAACAGAAUUCUCACUAUCCCUAUUUCUGAUAGUAGACCAGAAGAUAUAAGAGUCUGGAAGUUCGAAGGCACGGGUGAAUACACGGUCAAGAGCGAUUAUCGGGCCAUUGUUACAGAAUUAUUACAAAAUAAGCCUAAUUUAUCCCCUAAAACCGAGGAGUACAGAAGGUUCUAUCAGGGACUGUGGAAACUUGAUAUUCCGGCAAAAAUUAAAAUAUAUAUGUGGAGGUUGUUUCAUAAUUUGGUGCCUCACUACGAAAAUCUGGCACGACGAACUCUGUGCGAAGAAGCAGUGUGCCCACUGUGCAAAACUGAGCUGGAAACCUCUGACCAUCUCUUGUGGGCGUGUGUUAUCUUGCAGGACAUCUGGGAUGCUUUAAAAGUGUAGAUCUCCCCUUCUGACGGUUCACUGGGGCAUAAAGAAAAAUUUGUAAGAACUUUUUCGGAAGUAGAUAACAGUCAAAAAACGUUUAUAGCUAUUUCGCUGUGGAGUCUCUGGCAUCGCAGAAACAAGUUAGUGCAUGAAGGAGUUAGUUUUUCAAAGCAGGAAGUUCUUGGUUUCAUUCGUGGCUAUGUACAAGAGUUAAGUUUACAUAAUACGAAUUCCAACGCCGUUAUUGGAUUUGCUGUGAAUGAAUGUUGGAGACCACCGGAUGAUGGUCUCAUUAAAAUUAAUUUUGAUGCAGCGUUUUCACAGGAUACGGGGUUGGCCACAAUAGCAGUUCUAGCUAGAGACUAUAAAGGAGAGGUUGUUGGAGGGGAAACUUAUCUGGUUCUAAAUGUUGCAGAUUCGUUCAUGGCGGAGGCACGGGCUUGUGAGAGGGCUUUGGUAUUUGCGCACAAAAUGGGAUUCCGGCGGUUGGAGGUGGAAGGGGACGCACUAUUUGUGAUAAAAAACAUCAGAAGUAGGGAGGCAGGGAGGCAGGGAAAUUGAUUCUCAGACCGAUCAUUUUCCAUAUACAUCAGUUAAGAAGGAAGUUAGAAGCAGUUACCUUCAAUUUCGUGCCUUAGAAAGUGAAUGAAGCGGCGCAUGCCUUGGCUAUUGAGGGCCGGAGGAAAGGGGUUGGUCAGAUCUGGACUAACGAUGUACCGGAGCUAGUUCAGAUGGUGGUAAGGAAGGAUAGGAUUGCGUGGAAUAGCAGAUUGAGGGCUCGCUGAAAGUUGGCUUUGAUUUUGGAGAAGGUUCUGUUGAAUCUCCAAGGGUUCGUCUUCAAAGCUCUGUGUUUUCUUUUGUGGGUACAAGGGCAGUUUUUCAGAGAAAACACUUUGGCUGAUUUUGGGAUGGUAAAGAGACACUGCAUGUUUAUUUAUGAUUCUUUGUCUUUUCAAGUUUUUUUUGUGUUAUGUGGGACAGCUGGAUAUUUUGUCUUUUCUGGAGACUCUUCAGCUUCUUUUGUUUAGCAGUGUGCUAUAAAAUCAGCCUAUAUUUUACUAAAAAAAAACCAAGAUAAAGGAAGGAGACAAGAAUUCUUUAGAAACUAUGUAAGUUGAUUUUUUUUAUCAUAUUUUUAUUUGUCAUUUUCUAUUUUUCAUGAUCCACUUAACUCAAGAAAAUGAC